rnacentral:lncRNA from 1 species
GUGGGGUUCGUUAGAGGCUUUUAAUGAAUAUUUAACAUUUUUAGUAAUCACUCUGCCCCUUGUCUGUACUUGUUAUUGGGGGUACUUGAAUUUGAAAACUCUACCAAGUCACAAUACCUAUUAGAAGGAAAAUUCUAGUUGAUGGAAUGUUCAGCAUUCAUAGUUCUUAAAUUCUUUGGUUGGAAUUUAGCAGACACGAUGGAGUCUUCUUGUUUUAAUCAGAAAUGAUCAGUAUGGCUGGCUUAGUGCUUUGAUGAAUUAGAUUUUGCCUUGGAUGUGUAGAAGCUGUUAAAUACUCUUGGUCCCGUUUUGCAAUUUGCACAUUCAUUCUUUUGAUCUGGUUAAUAGUGUUUCCAUCUGAUAAGAUUUCAUAGCUAAAACCUUAUAUUUUUAGUUUUUUUUCUUGGAUUUAUGAGUAGCAUCAAUUUCAUCAUUAACAUGCUUGACUGAAUAUGAAAUCUAAAGGAUGUUCUGGCAUCUUAAUCAUUAAUGCAAUCCAAAGUAUAUGCGAACUUCCGGAGUAACCAUUGUUGCCUUUACUACUUCUUUAGUCAUGUGUACUUUCUGAACUAUCUGUAAUAUUUGAUCUACUGUUUCUUAUGCUCCCUCUUGAAUAAGUACGUCCCAUGUAUCUAGUAUUCUCUUAACCCAUGUUCUCAGUUAUAUCAUUGAAGGACAUGUUUGUUAUUUGACAAUGUGUGAUCGCUCUUAUCCCAAGAAACUUGCCUUUCAAUACCUGGAGGACCUUAAGAAUGAGUUUGAGCGUGUAAAUGGGAGUCAAAUUGAAACUGCUGCUAGACCCUAUGCUUUUAUUAAAUUUGGUAAGCAAUUAUGUACUUUUUAUGCUUUUGCAUUCCAACUAUAUUUCAUUCACACGGAUUUUCUAAUACUUGCAUUAUGUGAUUUUUCCCCUGUUGUAAAAAGAUACAUUCAUACAGAAGACGAAGAAAAACUUGCCUUUCAAUACUUGGAGGACCUUAAGAAUGAGUUUGAGCGUGUAAAUGGGAGUCAAAUUGAAACUGCCGCUAGACCUUAUGCUUUUAUUAAAUUUGGUAAGCUAUUACAUUCUUUUUAUG